rnacentral:lncRNA from 1 species
AUGAGCCUUCUUCAGCUAGUGAGAAUAGAGGUUGACAAUGAUGAAGGCAGUGCUGCUGAAAGUGAAGAAGAGCAAGAAUCUGUUCAGAGAAAGGGAGCGUCAAGUAAAAAAACCAGAGAGAAAUAUGAAGAGGACGAAGAGGGCGAGGAUGAGGAUGAAGAGACUGCCGCAGAUCGUAGGCGAAAAUACAAAAGGCGGAGGAUGAAAGAUGGUGGAUUAGACAUCAGCGAAUCGGAUGGAGAAGGCUGCAAAAGCAGGAAGAACAGAGCCAACCAGAUGACCAAGGAUGGUGAUGAAGAAGAUGGGGAUAAAAAACGAAAGGACAAGAAAAAAGGGAAAAAGAAAAAAAAGAAAGACAAAAAGAAAAAAGGAUCAGGGUAAGGCCUUAUUAUGAUGAUGAUCUCUUGAAUGUAAAGUCAAUGAUGGUUGUGUUAGGCAUACUGCAGCAAUCU